rnacentral:lncRNA from 1 species
AAAGUUAAUUUAUUUGGAAGUGAGGAUUGGUAUGGUCAUUUAUUCUCCCUAUUAUUAUUUCCUUUCUUCUUCUUUCCCCCUGUCUUUGGAAAGUUCUCACCUCUCACACCAUUCUUUGGCACUACCACCUCUCGACCGCCGUGGCGCUGCUUGACUCAUCGGAUGACGACCAACAAGCCUUGCCAUUUGCCGUCCUUGCAAAUUUGAAGGUUGAAGUUUCCACGUCGUUGUUGCCCAAUUCGCGUUGCACAACCAGUACUUCAACACCCGCCCCUUCAGCCACCGUGCACGCCAACUCACUGGAAAUCAACUCAAAGGCUAUUCACAUUCAUUCUCCACUCAAAUCUGCCGCUUAACGUAAGAUCAAUUCGGGUUGUUUUAAGGUGCUUGUUUUUUAUUUCCCAUUAAGUUUCAAGUUGAUUUUCACAAUACCUAUUAUAUUUUGAUGUUAGAUUCAAAUUUUAGAGGAGUUUGGGCCAUUGUCUAGCCAUUCAGAAGCUUGAAAAUUAGGAAUUUUGGCAUAAUUUGGGUAAGAUGCUAAGUUUUUUGGAGUCGAUUUUGAGUACCCAUCUAAUCUUAGUUAUAGCAUUGAGUAACCCGUGAUGGUAGAUUCUUAAUUUUGAACAUAGAAAGUGGUUAGAAUGUUGUCCAUUGAAGUUAAGAGUACUUUGCUAAGUUCUUGGUAAGGUUUGGAGUAACUUUAUAGAUUUGUUUCUAGAGUUCUUGAAUGCCCAUUAAGUUGAAGUGUUAAAAUUGAAUUAUGCAAGAUACUUAGAUCCUAGAGUUGAAUGUUAGAGGUUGAAAAUGCGUUUUUCAUUAACUUGGAGUUCAUUUGGGUGUUACUUAUAUGAGGUUUGAAAUAUAAAUAGUUUGGAUGAUCUUAGGAAGUGUUUAAGUUGUUUGACUCAUGGUAAUAUAAUGGAUAUAAAUUCCAAACAUCAUCGGUAAUAGGGUUAACGUGAAUCUACAUAAAAGACCUGUUGAGUUUUAACUAAGUCGGAUACUCAUGGGGUUAAGUAUUUAGAUUUCAAGUCUAAGGGUUCAUAGGUGAAAAGUUUACUCUAAUCUAUGGCAACUGAGAAUUCAAAACUUUAGAAACAUAAAAUUGGUUGAGUUGGCCUUGUAUGAAGUGUUUUGAAAAUUAAUAUUGUAGCCUUGUGACAUGUGACGAUAAUUGAUGUGACCUUAAUCGUUGUUUUAGGCCAAAUUGAAGUGGAAAAAACAUAUAAUCACGGGGGAUCGAAUCAUUGAUAAUGAGUGGUUUAUUUUCAAGUAUUUUCGUUAUAAGUUUUUAGAUGUUAUUAUAAUCUGCUAUGAUUGUGACAAUUACCCAUAUGAUUGUUUUAUGAUCCAUAUGUUAGAAGUGUUUUCGAACAUGAUUUUCAGUUUUUCAUGAACUCUUGUAUUUUUGAACUGUGGUUGAACCCAAACUUACCAAGUAAGAUUUAGAUGACAACUGACUUCUAAAAUACUCAUUGAUUUAUUAUUAAACUUAAAGGAUUUCUAAAAGUAUAUGUUGAUAUCUAGGGAUUAAAAAUGUGUUUUUAACCAUGUUUGGUUUUAAAAUUUAUAAACAUGUGAUGUUUAUGAAAUAAUGUUAAUGAUUUACCCAAAGGCUACGUGAAUGUGUUUAGUAGCGCCACCUAUGGUUGUUAGGGGGUUUCGGGGCUAAGAGGUCGUGACUAGAGAUCCGAGAACCUGAGCUUAGGUGAAGACAUUGAUAGGAUGAUUGUGAUUUGACUUCGGUCCUAGCUGAACCCAGAAUGGAUGGUUCUAUGUACACAUAGAAGCGGAUAUGGAGGUUGUUACUAUGGUAGAUGCUAAGUAUGAGUGAGCUUAGUUUGACCGUGUGUUUCCUUGUGAAUAUCGAUAACGUAUGAGCGAGUCUCACUCGUGUAUUUAGUAUUCUAUCAUGGUUGGAUUGGAUGAAGGUUGUUACUGUGGCAGGUACUAAAUAUGUGUGAGCUCAGCUUGGCUGCAUGUUUCCUUGUGGAUAUGGAUCAUGUGUGAGCUAUUUUCGGUCGUGUAUUUAGUAUUCUAUCAUGGUUGGAUUGAAUGGAGGUUGCUAAUGUGGUAGGUGCUAAAUAUUGCGUGAGCUCAGUUUGGCUAUGUGUUUUCUUAUGGAUAUGGAUCAUGUGUGAGCAGUUUGGCUACGUGUUUUCUUAUGGAUAUGGAUCAUGUGUGAGCUAUUAUCGACCCUGUAUGUAGUAUUUUAUCAUGGUUGGAUUGGAUAGAGGUUGCUAUUAUGGUAGAUACUAGAUAUAUGUGAGCUCAGUUUGGCCACAUGAUUCCUUGAUCAUGUGUGAGCUAUUCUUGACCAUAUAUUUGGACGCUCGGCUAUGGUAGACCUUAUAUGGUACAUGUUUGUUGGCGAAUACUUGCGGUUUAUGGUAGUAUAUGAUUUUAACAUUUUAGUUAGUAUUUCAUUGUUGAUGUCAUAUUUAAACAGUUUGAGAGCAUGUUUCACGAGCUUUUACUUUUAAAAACAUGUCACUAGCACACUGAGUUUUAGCUUACAUUUUCAAUAUUUUUCUUCCCCCAAUAAUGGUCAAGGUCCAAGCAUUCGUUGAGCUUCUCAUCACUAUUUGUAGAUUCUCAUUUCUUUUAUAAUCUACUUAAGUUUUGUAUUGUAUUAUGAGGUUGUCAAGGUGGCAAGGUUCAUGCUAUAGAUAUGUGUUUGAUAGAUCUAUUAGUGGACUUCAAUCCUUUUUUAACUACAUUUUUAGUUGGAUAUAAACUCUGAUUGAGAUUCUAGACUACUUUGGAUGAGUGUAUGGUGAGACACACUCGAUGUACUUUUUGUGUUUGAAGAUUUCUUAUACAUAGAAGUGAAAAAUUCUUCCAUUUUCAAGUUUGACUAACCCAUAUUUUAGGGAAAAUGCUACCAAAAUUUUCAUAGAAUUUCUUGAAAAGUGUUUUAUUAAUCUUACAUUUGAAAAUGAAUGUUUUUAAAGAGUAAAUUCACACCACAAUCUAGGUUAGAGGAGAAACCUAGAACGAGUGUGACAUUUUGGUAUCAGAGCAUGAUUUUGGAAAACUUAAGGGGGCAUUUGGGGGAAGGAAAGGAAUAAAGGGGAAAGGAAUAUAGAAAGUGGGGAAUUAUGAAAAGAAAAUGAUUAUUAUAAUUCUUGUUUGAGGGAAGGAAUAAGUAGAAGAAAUAUAGGGGAUUGAGAUAAACCUUGUUUGGGGGAAUAAUUAUAUGGGAAGAAUUAUGACAAAAAAUUAUUAUUAUUAUUAUUUAAUUUGUACUAUUGGGGUGCCUUGCAUAAGACACACAUAUCAAUCUAAUGCUCCCGAAUGAUGCACAAUAAGUGACCGUACAACACCUGCAAGACACACUUCCCAAUAGAAAAUUAACAAUUUUCCCUAAGUCCAAUCGAAACAUCUUAUCAAUCAAUCGAUCAUAAUACAGUCCAACUAUAUCAACGUAUAAUCUUCUCCCUCAAUACAUUAACAAUCAACCUAUUCUUUUUGCUUAGUGUCAAUCAGUAUCAUAUCGACACAUCAUUGCUUAGUGUCAAUCAGUACCAUAUCGACACAUCAGACCGACUAUGCAAUCAUCAUACCCCUCAGCUCACCAGUACACUGCUACACUUUAGUAUAACCUAUACUCAGUCAGACGACAAUCACAAGUUCAUGACCACAUCUCUUACAAACACAAACUACAAUUGUCAUCCUAUCUACAUCCAUAUAUAUAUAUAUAUAUAUUACCAGACAAUCACAAUAUGCAUUCAACAUCAAGUCUAAGUCAAUCCAUGUAUAUAUAUAUUUCCGGUCAAUCACGGUAUAUAUUCAACACCAAGUCUACAUUCAUACGUAUAUAUCGUUUUCGACAUCUCUACUCAAUCAGAGAUAACUAUACACUCUGGCACAAUUCAAAACUAAUCAGAGAUAACUAUACACUCAGCACAAUUCAAAACUAUAGAUGAGUCUAGUGGUAGAGAGUCCCUUACAUGACUUGUAUGCAAGUUCUUCAAUCCAACUAUACUCAAUAAUUCAAAUCCUAAACAUAAAUAACAUGAGAAUCAACAUCUUUCUAAAUAAUUUCAUCUAUUCAAUUUACCCUAUAUGUAAACUCCACAACUUACCCAAAAAGUGGAGGGUCGAACUCAACUCAACCCCGUUUGAAACUCAAGGAUUCGCCCACUGAUUCAAUGUAUGCCUUCUAGGUUAAAGUAUUUUUUUUCAAUGAUUACAUCCAAUAGUUAACAUUUAACGAUAAGCACGAAAGAAAAAAAACAACGGAACCCACAAUUUAUCCUUAACUCAAAUAUUUUCACCUAAACCCACAGUAAGGCAGGAGCAGCGAUCGAAGAAUAAUCACGCAUGAUAGGAAGGGAACCCACGCCGCUGGAAGGAGACGCACGCGCUGCCUCACAAUCGAUCGACGAGCUAACGCCGCGGCUGGGCUUCACGAAUGGAGAUCGGUGCAGACAAAACUGAACAAAGGCACGACGGUUGCGGAUGGAGAGGCGGUGUGGCCCGACUGGGUUUCGCCGGACGGGAUUCGCUCGGCUAGUGCAAGGCGACGGCAGAGAAGGAUGAAUGGAGAAGAAGAGGGAGAGGAAGCAGGUGGAGCGGCCGGCGACUAGGGCAAGAAGAAGGAGAAAACGAAGAAGACGGUGUGGGGGGGGGGGGGGGGGGGGGUCGCGUAUGUGAAGAAGAAAAAAGAUUUUCCCUUCUUUUAUAUAUAAUAAUAAUAAUAAUAAUAAACAAUAACUAUUAUUAUUACUACUUCUAUUCAUCAAUAACCAAUUUUCUUUUCCUUCAAUCCUAUAAUAUAACAACACCCCACAAAAUUUAAAAUCUUUAAAUAAAACUGCAAAUUGUUU